rnacentral:rRNA from 1 species
AACGAACGCUGGCGGCAUGCCUAACACAUGCCAGUCGAACGAGACCUUCGGGUCUAGUGGCGCACGGGUGCGUAACGCGUGGGAACCUGCCCUUAGGUUCGGAAUAACUCCCCGAAAGGGGUGCUAAUACCGGAUAAUGUCUUCGGACCAAAGAUUUAUCGCCUUUGGAUGGGCCCGCGUUGGAUUAGCUAGUUGGUAGGGUAAAAGCCUACCAAGGCGAGGAUCCAUAGCUGGUCUGAGAGGAUGAUCAGCCACACUGGGACUGAGACACGGCCCAGACUCCUACGGGAGGCAGCAGUGGGGAAUAUUGGACAAUGGGCGAAAGCCUGAUCCAGCAAUGCCGCGUGAGUGAUGAAGGCCUUAGGGUUGUAAAGCUCUUUUACCCGGGAUGAUAAUGACAGUACCGGGAGAAUAAGCUCCGGCUAACUCCGUG